CGCGGCCUAUCAGCUUGUUGGUGGGGUAACGGCCUACCAAGGCGACGACGGGUAGCCGGCCUGAGAGGGCGACCGGCCACACUGGGACUGAGACACGGCCCAGACUCCUACGGGAGGCAGCAGUGGGGAAUAUUGCGCAAUGGGCGAAAGCCUGACGCAGCGACGCCGCGUGGGGGAUGAAGGCCUUCGGGUUGUAAACCCCUUUCAGCAGGGGCGAAGCGAAAGUGACGGUACCUGCAGAAGAAGCGCCGGCUAACUACGUGCCAGCAGCCGCGGUAACACGUAGGGCGCAAGCGUUGUCCGGAAUUAUUGGGCGUAAAGAGCUCGUAGGCGGUCUGUUGCGUCCGCUGUGAAAACUCGGGGCUUAACCCCGAGCCUGCAGUGGAUACGGGCAGACUAGAGGUAGGUAGGGGAGAAUGGAAUUCCCGGUGUAGCGGUGAAAUGCGCAGAUAUCGGGAGGAACACCGGUGGCGAAGGCGGUUCUCUGGGCCUUACCUGACGCUGAGGAGCGAAAGCGUGGGGAGCGAACAGGAUUAGAUACCCUGGUAGUCCACGCCGUAAACGUUGGGCGCUAGGUGUGGGAUCCUUCCACGGAUUCCGUGCCGCAGCUAACGCAUUAAGCGCCCCGCCUGGGGAG
rnacentral:rRNA from 1 species